rnacentral:rRNA from 1 species
GCCUACGGGGCGCAGCAGUGAGGAAUAUUGGUCAAUGGGCGGGAGCCUGAACCAGCCAAGCCGCGUGAAGGAAGAAGGCGCCAAGCGUUGUAAACUUCUUUUGUCGGGGAACAAAGCGCGCCACGUGUCGCGUUGUGCGUGUAUCCGAAGAAAAAGCAUCGGCUAACUCCGUGCCAGCAGCCGCGGUAAUACGGAGGAUGCGAGCGUUAUCCGGAUUUAUUGGGUUUAAAGGGUGCGUAGGCGGUCUGGAAAGUCAGCGGUAAAAGUCCGGGGCUCAACCCCG